rnacentral:rRNA from 1 species
AUUGAACGCUGGCGGCAGGCCUAACACAUGCAAGUCGAGCGGAUGAAGGAAGCUUGCUUCCUGAUUCAGCGGCGGACGGGUGAGUAAUGCCUAGGAAUCUGCCUAUUAGUGGGGGAUAACUCGGGGAAACUCGGGCUAAUACCGCAUACGUCCUACGGGAGAAAGUGGGGGAUCUUCGGACCUCACGCUAAUAGAUGAGCCUAGGUCGGAUUAGCUAGUUGGUGAGGUAACGGCUCACCAAGGCGACGAUCCGUAGCUGGUCUGAGAGGAUGCGCAGCCACACUGGAACUGAGACACGGUCUAGACUCCUACGGGAGGCAGCAGUGGGGAAUAUUGGACAAUGGGCGAAAGCCUGAUCCAGCCAUGCCGCGUGUGUGAAGAAGGUCUUCGGAUUGUAAAGCACUUUAAGUUGGGAGGAAGGGUUGUAAGCUAAUAUCUUGCAGCUUUGACGUUACCAACAGAAUAAGCACCGGCUAACUCUGUGCCAGCCGCCGCGGUAA